GACGAACGCUGGCGGCGUGCCCAAUACAUGCAAGUCGAACGCAGUGGGGACGGGUGAGUAACACGUGGGUAACCUCCCAUCAGAGGGGAUAACACUUGGAAACAGGUGCUAAACCGAUACUGAUGGAUGGACCCGCGGUGCAUUAGCUAGUUGGUGGGGUAACGGCUAACCAAGGCCACGAUGCAUAGCCGGCCUGAGGGGGUAUUCGGCCACACUGGAACUGAUACACGGUCCAGCCUCCUACGGGAGGCAGCAGUGGGGAAUAUUGCACAAUGGGCGCAAGCCUGAUGCGGCCAUGCCGCGUGUAUGAAGAAGGCCUUCGGGUUGUAAAGUACUUUCAGCGGGGAGGCGUUACCCGCAGAAGAAGCACCGGCUACCUCCGUGCCAGCAGCCGCGGUAAUC
rnacentral:rRNA from 1 species